UUGAUCCUGGCUCAGGACGAACGCUGGCGGCGUGCCUAAUACAUGCAAGUCGAGCGGACAGAAGGGAGCUUGCUCCCGGAUGUUAGCGGCGGACGGGUGAGUAACACGUGGGUAACCUGCCUGUAAGACUGGGAUAACUCCGGGAAACCGGAGCUAAUACCGGAUAGUUCCUUGAACCGCAUGGUUCAAGGAUGAAAGACGGUUUCGGCUGUCACUUACAGAUGGACCCGCGGCGCAUUAGCUAGUUGGUGAGGUAACGGCUCACCAAGGCGACGAUGCGUAGCCGACCUGAGAGGGUGAUCGGCCACACUGGGACUGAGACACGGCCCAGACUCCUACGGGAGGCAGCAGUAGGGAAUCUUCCGCAAUGGACGAAAGUCUGACGGAGCAACGCCGCGUGAGUGAUGAAGGUUUUCGGAUCGUAAAGCUCUGUUGUUAGGGAAGAACAAGUGCAAGAGUGGCUGCUUGCACCUUGACGGU
rnacentral:rRNA from 1 species